CCAACGCUCUAACCACUAGGCUACCUGCCACCCACAUUUCCUUUAUAAGUGGCCCUGGCCACCAGAAUCUACCUCUUCUCCAUUAUAAUUGCGGGUGAAAUAUUUUGGACAGAACUAUUCCUUUUCUGAGGAUGUUAAGUACACAGAUGAGAGGAGUAGAGAGACUCAUCUUCCUGUUUUGGCUGCUGCAAGGUGUCCUCUUCAUUGAUGGGGUGGAAGAGGCAGACAAUGACAUAGACCACAGUGCAGACUCGGAUGGUGUCCUCUUCAUUGAUGGGGUGGAAGAGGCAGACAAUGAGAUAGACCAUAGUGCAGACUCGGAUGGUGAGUACAAAGCAUAGAUGUCCAAGAGUACAAGAGCAAACUUACAAAAAAAAUGAUAGUAGCAAAUGAUGUGAGACAUACAGAACCAACAGUCAAUGUUAGAUUGGGUUAAAUAUUAUACAACCAUGUUUGAUCCUUUAACGAUUCAGUUGUCUUAGCCACGUUUGAUCCCUUAACGAUUCAGUUGUCUUAGCCACGUUUGAUCCCUUAACGAUUCAGUUGUCUUAGCCACGUUUGAUCCCUUAACGAUUCAGUUGUCUUAGCCACGUUUGAUCCCUUAACGAUUCAGUUGUCUUAGCCACGUUUGAUCCCUUAACGAUUCAGUUGUCUUAGCCACGUUUGAUCCCUUAACGAUUCAGUUGUCUUAGCCA